AAAAUUAUAAUAAAAAAAUCAAGCGAUAUUUUUGAGUUCUGUUAGUUCUAACAUUGCUUAAAAAUCAUGAUUUAGAGGUGUGACGAUUUUGAUGAGAAAAUAAGAACAUGCGAUUUUGGCCAAAAAUCCUUGUAUAAUUCCCAUGGUUUUUACUUUUUAGUGGAAAAUCAUGGUGUGUGUGUGUGUGUAAUUGAGUAGAAAAUUUCGUGGUAGAUUCCUGCAUCUAAAAAAGCAUACAACAUCUUUCACUGUACUUAACCUCGCUUGAGGAGACACUGUUAACCUCACUUUCAUAGGCAUGUGCGUCCCCAUCUUCAGCGUUACUUAGCAUUCCUACCGUUGGUCUCUCUCUUGCAUGGGCAUUUCCAUGCCCGCCUUAGCCUCACUUGGCAAGUUGGCAUGCCAAUCAACUGAGUUAUUAAGUGUGACACAGCAUGUGAGAGGACCAUACUUGAGAACCAUGCCCAUUUUGUUUCAUAACAUUUGAAGAUUAUAAAAAUGUGUUAUGGAAGGACACUAUAGAUGAUUAACUGGCUUGGGAGGUAUAAUUUUUUGCAUAGCUUUUCACUUGGGUAUUAUGUUCUUCACAAUCUCUCUUAUAACAGUGAGCCAGUAACAUGAUUCACAACUUCAAACAUUGGGUGCAGAUAAUAUCGAGUUGGAAGUUGUGGCUAUCGAUAUCCAAUAUAUAAAUCGAGGCACUGACUGAACGGUUUGGACUAUAAAUCUAACAGUCAGCUGGACACAGAUUUUCAAAGGUAAAUCGUUAUCUGUGUUCCACUUCCACCAUAUGAUAAUGUCUUCACAGUUAGCAUAGUGAAUUGGAUACAGUAAAAUAUGUUGCACAGAUCUUAAAAUCACUCUGAACUCCUUUCCUUCCGGCUACAUGCUACUUUCAAGUACAACCUGAAGAAACGCAAGAGUCAGCAAACCGAUUAUCUUUCUCAUACGCGCUAGGUCCCGAGAAGGAUGGAUAGAUUUGUAGAGUUGUACACCUCCAGUGAUACAGAAGAUUUCAAAUUCAAGCUGCAUCGGAGAAUAUCUAGUCCCUUCAUUUGAUGACAAUAUCAGAAAGAAGUAACAAAACACUGAAAUCUUUAAACAAUCAGUGUUCAUGGCAAAAUCCUACAUUUGGUAUAAAUCCUCAUUCCACACAUCAAUCUGUGUUCAUGGCAGAAAUAUAAAAUACUCGGCUCUAAUUGGGAAACAGUCAGAUUUCCUGGUAUGCACAUGACAAACCUAAGAAUAAAAAACCUGAGCACUAUUACAAAACAGGCACAAAGUCGAUAUGUACAUACUAUUACAUAAAUUGUUAAAAAAGGCCUUCUCCAACUCUCUCUGAUGGCCUCCACAAAACUUAAGCAACAAAUCAGGAGUCACAGGCUCACAUGAAUUCCAGAGAUUUAUACUAAGGCAAUCUGAAAGUAAUCAGAAGUUUCUGCAGUAUUUUACGACCCCAUUGCAUGUCACUGUGCCAGACAUCAUGGAUUUGCUCUGAACCAGACUGUUCUGCAGUUUCAGCAGUUUGAUGCUUUUGCUCGAGUCCACCAUCAAAACUCACUUCAUUAUUGUUGAACAUGUCAGUUGUUUCUGUUUGAGGUGAGCCAUAGGGUAGGUCAGGCUUGGACUGAUUUUCCCUUUCAGCUGGUUGAGGCUUUUGCUUGAGUUCUUCAUCAAAUUUCUCUAUAUUAUCAUUGAACAUCUCAAUUGUUUCUGCUUGAGGUGAUUCCCUGUAUGGUUCUUGCUUCUCUUCUAGCUGAUUUCAUUGGUUUCAGUACAUGUAAAGCAACAGAAACAAGACAUCAACAAUAGCACUAACAAAGAUGGAAGCAUAUCUAUAUCAGUUUCUGGUAUUGAAGAGAAGCGGAUUGCCACAGCAGUGAUAAAUAAUUCAUCAUGACAACAAGUCUUAAUUUAUCAGUAUCAUAUAUCAAUACAAAACAACUCACAAUAUAGAGUAGUCCAGUGACAAUGCGUGGUUAUAUGUACUCAUUCACAUGGUUUUAGGAAUAGGAUUCAUGUAUAGGCAAAAUUUAACUAUAUGGAAAUCCACAGGGUUGCAGCAGAAGAAAAAAAAAAAUUAUAUGGAAUGCUUGAUAGAUCACUCAACGGCAUAGUUUCGUGCAAGUUUACAUUGAGUAGGAGAAAAUUCUGUUAGCCUUUCUAUUGCUUGAACUGUUGUAGAAUCCAACUUUUAUUACAAGAAUGUAUUGUUAAACUUCAAAAUUGUUGAUUGCUGAUGGGAAGAAGAAUACAAGAGCUUUUUAACUUUAAGCAUCCUCCUUUUCAUAUCUCUAACAAUUUAAAUGACUGUUAAUAUUGAUGAAAUGAAAUAUUUUUGCCUUGCCAUACAUCAUCUUCAUGACCUUUUCUUCAUAGGAACAUAGAUUCAAAGACAAUACAAGCUGUAACCCAAAACUAUAGUAUAGAAUCUCCUAGCCCUGGACAACUCGCGGUUUUUGGAAUUGAAAUGGAGUGUUAUUUCAGGCUGAGGCAGAUGCAGUAGAA